AUUGAACGCUGGCGGCAUGCUUUACACAUGCAAGUCGAACGGCAGCGCGGGCUUCGGCCUGGCGGCGAGUGGCGAACGGGUGAGUAAUACAUCGGAACGUGCCCAGUAGUGGGGGAUAGCUCGGCGAAAGCCGGAUUAAUACCGCAUACGACCUGAGGGUGAAAGCGGGGGUUCUUCGGACCUCUCGCUAUUUGAGCGGCCGAUGGCAGAUUAGCUAGUUGGUGGGGUAAAGGCCUACCAAGGCGACGAUCUGUAGCUGGUCUGAGAGGACGACCAGCCACACUGGGACUGAGACACGGCCCAGACGCCUACGGGAGGCAGCAGUGGGGAAUGUUGGACAAGGGGCGAAAGCCUGAUCCAGCAAUGCCGCGUGUGUGAUGAAGGCCUUCGGGUUGUAAAGCACUUUUGGCGGGAACGAAAAGGAGUGCGCCAAUACCACGGUUCGAUGACGGUACCCGCAGAAUAAGCACCGGCUAACUACGUG
rnacentral:rRNA from 1 species